GGAGAAAUUGAUGUUUUGUCACAGGCACCAGGCGAGAACAUGGUAUUCCACAGACACAGCAUGCCAAUGCAUCCAGCAUAGGGUGUGUAGGACAUAUUCACUUUGCAAAAUUCCUAGAAGCAAUGUGCAUGGGCAGCAUCCAAACUCUCUCAGCUGAGACUCAGUGGACCCCACGGGGCUCUACAAGGGCUUAGAGCAUCUCCACUGCCUUCACUUUUGGAUGGCAGGGUAAGAAAGGAGAAGAAGUGGCUCAAAGGAUGCGGGUGAGGAGGCGGUUAUCAGUGCUGGGGUUCAGCUCAGGUCAUGCUGCUGGUGGGGACAGUGACUGGUUGGUAUUUCCCCCCCUCCAAGGAGAGCCAGAAGAGGGGAAAAUCUCUCACCUCCAAACUCCAACUCAAUGCAACAGAGAAGAGUCUACAGCACUGGGGCUAACUCCUUCUCUCAGGGCUUUGCCCAGGAGCCUCAUGGGCUGGUGGUACCCAGACAGCCUCAAAGCAGCCAUGGGCUGCUGACCCGAGCAGCUGGGUGCCCAUGAAGAUGCACUGUUUGCUGGGUGGGCUUCUGGAGAGAGCAGGAUGCUGCGCUUCCCUGCUUUGUGCUCACCACUGUGGCCCCACAAAUCAGCACAGCCGGAGGCCAGGGAAGAUUUCUUUGAUUGCCUUUUACUUCACUCCAUUGCAUUUCUUACUCAGUUUUCUUGGCUGGAUAUAAAGCCUGGUGCUGGUGGGGUGUAUUGCCAGCAGGGAGCAAGGGGAGCUUGCAACCAACAGGCAGCAUUGCAAUGCAGCAAGUGGCAGAAACUGAAAUGUGCUUCCGCAAGGACCACACUGAGGAAGCAGAGGGAGAAACUCAGCAAACUUUCGGGGUUAACAUCAGAUCUACCACCAGAUCCCACCCUCUUUUGGCUUGUGGGAGAGGGUUGUGCGUGCAGGCUGCUGCCAGAAGGCAUCAGAGCACAGUGCAGCCCGGCAGCUUCACUCGGGCUGCAAGAGAGUUGGAGGUCUUCAGCCAGGCACCUCUGGUUUGCUCGGAGGACUGCCUGAUACCCACUGCCAGUUGCAUGGAGUGAAGGAGGUUUGUGUGUAGAAUGUCUGACACCGAUACAGGUGAGGAGGGAAGCAGUGCCUGGAGGUGCUGAGGUUGGUGAAGACUCUGCAGGAGGGGAGCAGCGCCGGGAGCGGAGCCCUCCCUGCAUCACCUGCACGUUCUCAUCUCGAGAUCCGCGGGGAACGCGAAGAAGCCGCCUUAGGAUGCGGGCAAAGCGUUGGGCAUCGGGAUCUGCUCCGGGCAUCCCCAGGAAGGGGCGGGAGGAGCUGUGUGUGCAUUCCAAGGGCUGCACUGCCACCUCCAGAUGAAAGACCGCACGAUGUCUCUUUCCGUAUGAAUUUCUCAUUGCAGAAUGAAGGCGCAUCGAUGUGAGAAACCGGGCGUUUCUAUGAGAUGACGGCAUUGUUUUUUUUCUGCCCUGCCAGAACAGUGCUGUCCUCCUCCUGCAUGGCCAUCUCCUCGCCUAUGAGCCUCGCAUUGCUGCGGGGCAGCUGCGUGCGGGGUUGCGUUGGCCCCGCGCACCGGGAGGUGGCACUGCAGCCGCAGCUUUGCGUGCCUUUGCACAGGUAAAGUGUGUUUUACUGGGAAAACAGUGGGAAGGAGCAAAACGUGGGAGCGUGGAGCAAGGAGGGUUUCCCUGGCACUUGUUUUCCACCUUUGUGAUGCCCUGGGAAAAGUUCUAAGCAAGCAUUUUCCUCCCCAAGUUCUACUCUGCAAAGUGUGCUCCUCAAGCAAAGCACAGAGAGAAGGGUUAUGGGUGCGUUCUACUGGCCUAAAUGGGAUAAAUAAGUAGAAAUGGACCAGGCUGAUGCUAUUGGUGAAAGUGCUGAUGUCUCCUGGAACAGCUCAGCAGUGGUUUUGAAGGCGUUGACAAAUGACACCCAGAAGUGUAGAAAAGAAGAAAACAAACAACGCAACCCCUUUUCUGCAGCUCCCCUGGGAGGAGUGCAAAAGUUGGGAGAUGCAUCAAAUUUCCAUCUCGUAUCAUUCUAACUGUUCUGGGUAAUGGGCCACAAGUCACCACUGACUUAAUGUCAAUCUCAGGGUGAAAUAUCCAGGCAAUGAGACAUGAUGGAGGAGACUGGUGAGCCAUCACUGCACCUAUGGGCUGUCACGUUGCCACUGAGUGCCCGCCAGCUUUUGUUGAAUGGAUGAAACUCAUCCACUUUGACAAGCAUCCUUAAAGUAGGAUAAAACUAGGAGGGCCUGUUGGAUGCAGGAGAAAGGACCCAAGGAGAUGGGGAGCUGUCAUAGAUUCCAUUACAAAAUGGUGUGGAGAUGCCUCUGAAUCUUGGUCAUCCCCAACCUCAACCAUCCUCAAUCUCAAUCCUCAACAUUUCCAAGCAGGAAAGAAGAGCAGGAAAACUCAGCUCCCAGCCCUCUUUUUGUCUUAUGUUGACCUUCAUGGUGCCUUUCCCAAAUGUAAAAUUUGGGAAACCUUGAUGUUCCAAAAAAAAAAAAAAGUCUAAGUGAGGUUGAUGUACCUUCAUAAUUGCACCUGUAAGCAAGGGGAGCGUCCUGCUGUGUGCUGCUUCCUUGCUGUGGUGUAGUACUUUGGUGGGUGGAUUUGAGCUUUGAGAACGCAGUGCAGAAGGAACAAAAAGAAAAAAUGAAGCUGGUCUCGCAAUGGAAGAUUUUUUCUGCUUUUCAGUGAUUUGAAAAGUUUGGCCUGAAUGUCAAGAAAAAAGAGGGAAAAAACCCAACCCAUGCAUUCUCCUAAUUUCAGCACAUUACCCAAUGAUUAAACAAUCUGGACCACUCCGUAUGACUGUAUUCACCACACAAAGAGGGCUACAAAUAAUAGCAACUUAACGGAGGUGACAUCUCCAAGCCUCUUAGGAGGCUAAUUCUAUAACAACAUUAAUUCAACAUAAUGCGUUCAUGAAUAGAGAUUGGGUUAAUGCAGGUUUUUCAAGUUAGGCAGCUUAUUCUUGCCGAUCUUCAUUUAACUAAGUGCCUGAUCUGGAAAACGCCGUGUCUGAGCUGAG
ensembl:lncRNA